UACGUAGGGGGCAAGCGUUGUCCGGAAUCAUUGGGCGUAAAGCGCGUGUAGGCGGCCCGGUAAGUCCGCUGUGAAAGUCGGGGGCUCAACCCUCGAAUGCCGGUGGAGUACUGUCGGGCUAGAGUACGGAAGAGGCGAGUGGAAUUCCGUGGUGUAGCGGUGAAAUGCGCAGAUAUCGGGAAGAACGACCCGUGGCGAAGGCGGUUC
rnacentral:rRNA from 1 species